UGUAACUGCCAUAGGGGUAAGAAGCCUGGAAACUUUGCUCCGUGUUCUUACAAGACAUCUCACUGAGAGGCCCGGAACCAGCAGCAUCAGUGGCUCUGGGGGAUUUGCUAGAGACGCAUUCUCCAUGGAGUCAGGACCUUGAAGGACCCAGCACCUGCCCAUGCUGACCCCUAAGCUCUUCUGAGCACCACUCUGCUGCUUGGCUUCCCAGAAGGAAGUACUGGAUCCCCUGGCACUUGUGUUACAGACUUGUGAGCCUCCAUAUGACUACAGGAAUUGACCUGGGUCUUUGUGAAGAGCAGCCAGACUCAUAACCACUGUUUCUCCAGUGCCAAACGUGCAGUGGGCAGCAUUCUUUACUGCCAUUUAGGCACCCUCCCCAGCCUCUACAUGCUUACAGCCUGCGCGUUGGAGGAUGCUGAGGGUACAGCCUGCCUGUUGGAGGAUGCUGAGGCCGGACUUUCUUCCUGGCCACAAGCCACGCUUGUUGAGGUCUCCUUGGCUGGUCACCAGGGCUGCGCUGGGGCUGACAGCUGUUGAACAUCCUCAAGCCCUUCAUAGAAGAGGCGCCUGAGCUUUGCCUCCAAUGUUGCUGCUAUGGACUGCUGACUGUCAGCUCUGAAGUCCCAUGCUUUCUCAGCCCCCCCCCCACCGCGCUCCUCUGCUGUUUCCACAUCUGUGGAGGAGAGUGAGUGCAGUGAUGGAGGGUCCUCAGUGGGCACCCAGGGCCGUGCCUGGCCAUCACUCAGCUGCUAGCCAGGCACGCCCUUGGCCCAGACCAUCUCCAGCCCCUGUGGGCUUCCUAGUCUGUGCUCAGAUAACCCCCAGGGAGGCCUGGGCUGGGCACACUUUGCAUUCCUGUCCACUGAAGUUUGAGGUGGGAACCUGUGUGCAGAAUAGGGCUUGUUUGUUUUCACAGGUGGGAGAGUGGGGGGUCGGGUUAGCUCUGUUCUCAGUGAGUACCAAUCACAUAGCACCGAGCAAUCAAGCCACCUCAUGGAGGAAAACAAUCAAUCUUUCAUGAGGCUCUCACACCCGCCCUCGAAUGACAAACACUUUAAUUCCAAAUUAAAUACAGCAACACAGCUCUGAUGA